rnacentral:rRNA from 1 species
UACGUAGGGGGCAAGCGUUGUCCGGAAUCAUUGGGCGUAAAGAGCGUGUAGGCGGCCCGAUAAGUCCGCUGUGAAAGUCCAGGGCUCAACCCUGGGAUGCCGGUGGAUACUGUCGGGCUCGAGUCCGGAAGAGGAGUGUGGAAUUCCUGGUGUAGCGGUGAAAUGCGCAGAUAUCAGGAAGAACACCUAUGGCGAAGGCAGCACUCUGGGACGGUACUGACGCUGAGACGCGAAAGCGUGGGGAGCGAACAGG